ensembl:lncRNA
UUCUGCUCCGUGCAGCUGUGCCUCAGGGCAGGACAGCGGGACACCGGGCUGGAAUCCUACAUUGCAGAAUGCAGUGAUUGGAGGGGACCUCUGGGGCUCCACCAGCCCAGCCCCCCCACUCAGAGCAGGUUCCUGCAGUGCGGUACUCAGGGAAAUGCUAUUCUGUGAGGUCCGCUUUUCACCAGAGGAAAAGGAGCUGUGCCUUACACGAUGAUGUCAGCCCACAGCAGCAGUGUGCCUGCAGGGAGCGCGCAUGGGAAGGAAUGGGGGAGCAGAGCUGGAGCCACAGAGUGCCGUCCUUAUCUUCCUGUGAGGGGCUGAGAUGAAGCCUCAGCUCCCAGAAAAGAUGGCACAGCCUGUAUUGAAGGAAAAGAUGCCUGAGGUUUCCCCUGAGGCUGCAAGGCCCAGCACAGAGAGUGGGAGGUGACAAGCCAUUGGUUUGGCUCUUCCCUGCAGCCCAAAGACAGCAUCUGUGCUGGUCCCCUCAGAGCUCUUUGCUUGGUCCCCUCAGUGCUUGGAAUCCAGGUGAUGAAAAAGAGUAACAUCACUGUGACGUUUCCAUGUAUUGAGACAGGAAUGCAGAACUUCCAUCACCGGGUCAAGAAAUUCACACACGUUGAAGUGGGCUGGAAAAAAAGCACUCAGGGUGGUGUAGGACCAGAGCUGAGACAGACACUGCUUCACCUCUUAACACCUCGGUGGGGGGAUGUGGUCCUCCCCCAGAAGGGUGAGAAACAACGGGUGAACAGAGGCUGCUGCAGAGACCUGUGAAGGAACCCAACUUCCUGUCCUUCAGGAACUUAACCCUUAGCAUUCCCUCAUCCUGGGUUUGUUUGCGAGUCAGAAAUGGGGGAAGAUUUUGGUAAUUUCAGUAUUACCAACAGUUUGUUAAAAGACUAAUUGCCAAGUAGCUUAUGCAUGUGGGACCAUUAGUAAUUCUGUAGCUAUGCAAAUUAAAACAGUGAUGUAUGAUUUAUAGCUUUAAUAAUGUUCUGAAGGCUCUUAAAUUUUAAUCACUUGCAACAUCCUUUUUAAUAUUCAAUUACUUUAUUAACUAAUUAGGUCACUUGCUGAAAAAGCACAUAAGGCUGGUGCUAUUUUAAUAUCAGCUGAAUAUCACAAAAUACCUUUGAAAUGGUGUAAAUGGUUUAUUUAUUUUAAAUAGAUCAUUAAGAUGCUGCAAUUAAUAAAUCAAUUACAGAAGAGAAGGGAAAAAAAGACAAGAAAUUGAUAGAUGGCAACCCACAACAGCAGUUCUGUACUUCCUAAAUGUUCACAGGGAUGCUGAACUCAGGGAAUGUACCUUCCUAGACAAUUUGUAUUCAGCUGAAGGGAUAAGGUUCAAGAUAUGCUUGGUUCAUUAUAGAUGCUUUUUUGUAUGAAUUUAGCUUUCUGAUUGAUAAAAGCUUUGCAAUGACCUUGAAAAGUAAAAGUAUUUAAAAGGACAGCCCUCCAUUAUGGUUUGCUCUUUUGUCCAUCUCAGAAAGAUAAAACCAUAACAUCUUAUUGCUGCUAAUUCUGGGGUGAAGGGCAGAGCUCCUGGGGGAGGG